ACUCCUACGGGAGGCAGCAGUGGGGAAUAUUGCACAAUGGGCGCAAGCCUGAUGCAGCAACGCCGCGUGAGCGAUGAAGGCCUUCGGGUCGUAAAGCUCUGUCCUCAAGGAAGAAUAAAUGACGGUACUUGAGGAGGAAGCCCCGGCUAACUACGUGCCAGCAGCCGCGGUAAUACGUAGGGGCAAGCGUUAUCCGGAAUCACUGGGCGUAAAGGGUGCGUAGGCGGUUUUUCAAGUCAGAAGUGAAAGGCUAUGGCUCAACCAUAGUAAGCUUUUGAAACUGUUAAACUUGAGUGCAGGAGAGGAAAGUGGAAUUCCUAGUGUAGAGGUGAAAUUCGUAGAUAUUAGGAGGAACACCAGUGGCGAAGGCGACUUUCUGGAACUGUAACUGACGCUGAGGCACGAAAGCGUGGGAGCGAACAGGAUUAGAUACCCUGGUAGCACAGAG
rnacentral:rRNA from 1 species